GACGGAGGGGGCGAGCGUUGUUCGGAAUUAUUGGGCGUAAAGGGCGCGUAGGCGGAUCGUCGUGUCCGGCGUGAAAUCUCCACCCCUCAACGGGGGGGCGUGGCUGGAAACUACCGGUCUGGAGUUCGGUAGAGGAGCAUGGAAUUCACGGUGUAGCGGUGGAAUGCGUAGAUAUCCGGAAGAACACCAGUGGCGAAGGUGGGGUUCUGGGCCGAAACUGACGCUGAGGCGCGAAAGCUAGGGGAGCAAACGGG
rnacentral:rRNA from 1 species